rnacentral:rRNA from 2 species
UGGGGAAUAUUGCACAAUGGGGGAAACCCUGAUGCAGCGACGCCGCGUGAGCGAAGAAGGCUUUCGAGUCGUAAAGCUCUGUCCUAUGAGAAGAUAAUGACGGUAUCAUAGGAGGAAGCCCUGGCUAAAUACGUGCCAGCAGCCGCGGUAAUACGUAUGGGGCGAGCGUUGUCCGGAAUUAUUGGGCGUAAAGGGUACGUAGGCGGUUUUUUAAGUCAGGUGUCAAAGCGUGGAGCUUAACUCCAUUAAGCACUUGAAACUGAAAGACUUGAGUGGAGGAGAGGAAAGUGGAAUUCCUAGUGUAGCGGUGAAAUGCGUAGAUAUUAGGAGGAAUACCGGUGGCGAAGGCGACUUUCUGGACUUUUACUGACGCUCAGGUACGAAAGCGUGGGGAGCAAACAGG